AGCAGCCGCGGUAAUUCCAGCUCCAAUAGCGUAUAUUAAAGUUGUUGCAGUUAAAAAGCUCGUAGUUGAAUUUCGAGACCGGUUUACUGGUCGUGCUUUUGUACGUACUGGUAUUAUUGGUUUCUCCUUUCUGACGAAUCUUAAUGCCAUUAAUUUGGUGUUUUGGGGAAUCAGGACUGUUACUUUGAAAAAAUUAGAGUGUUUAAAGCAGGCUCACGCUUGAAUACAUUAGCAUGGAAUAACGGAAUAGGACGUUUGAUUUUAUUUUGUUGGUUUCUAGGAUCGACGUAAUGAUUAAUAGGGAUAGUUGGGGGCAUUAGUAUUCAAUUGUCAGAGGUGAAAUUCUUGGAUUUAUUGAAGACUAACUACUGCGAAAGCAUUUGCCAAGGAUGUUUUCAUUAAUCAAGAACGAAAGUUAGGGGAUCGAAGACGAUCAGAUACCGUCGUAGUCUUAACCAUAAACUAUGCCGACUAGGGAUCGGAUGAUGUUAAUUUUUAAUGACUCAUUCGGCGCCUUACG
rnacentral:rRNA from 1 species